GACGAACGCUGGCGGCGUGCUUAACACAUGCAAGUCGAACGGAAAGGCCCUGCUUUUGUGGGGUGCUCGAGUGGCGAACGGGUGAGUAACACGUGAGUAACCUGCCCUUUACUUUGGGAUAACUUCAGGAAACUGGGGCUAAUACCGGAUAGUAGCUCCUGCUGCAUGGUGGGGGUUGGAAAGUUUCGGCGGUUGGGGAUGGACUCGCGGCUUAUCAGCUUGUUGGUGGGGUAGUGGCUUACCAAGGCUUUGACGGGUAGCCGGCCUGAGAGGGUGACCGGCCACAGUGGGACUGAGAAACGGCCCAGACGCAUACGGGAGGAAGCAGUGGGGAAUAUUGCAAAAUGGGCGGAAGCAUGAUGCAGCAACGCCGCGUGCGGGAUGACGGCCGUCGGGUUGUAAACCGCUUUCGCCUGUGAAGAAGAGUGAGUGACGGUAAUGGGUAAAGAAGCACCGGCUAACUACGUG
rnacentral:rRNA from 1 species